CCCUUUAUCAAGACUGAGAGGGAGAAGAAGCCUCACACAUACCUCAGAAUGAUCUGGCCUGGUCAAGUUCCCUGCUGGAGUGCAGAUGACACCAAGCUAAGUGUGAUGGUAUUAUUAGAGGAAUGUCACCAGGAAAUGUCACCAAUGGGGAACUCAAAGGAACUUUCUUUACUCAAAGACUGAGAUACAGUGCAGAACAAGUCCUUCAGUCCCAACGAGCCGCACCACCCAGCAACUCACCCAUUUAACACCAGUCUAAUUGCAGGACUGGGUGGAGAGGAGGAGACAAGUUUCUACCAAAGGAGGGGAAAGGCGCUCCUUCUGUCCGCUAGUCUGCAGGCCACCCUUGGGCAAGAUAUAGCACCUGCUUAGCCCCCCGACCAUGGUCAGGUGAAGCCACAGGAGCAGGAGGCGGACAAUCGCAUGAGCAGCCGGUGCAUAUCACAAAUCCUGUUAUGUGACCACUGACACCAGGCAGACAAUCUCUGAAGAGUAUUGGGAACGGCUGGGGUCACCCGUCUUGUAAAGGCGAAAGCAACGACAAACUACUUCUAUGAAUUUGCUAAGAACAUAAGACAAUGAUUGCCCACGUCAUACGAUAUGACCCAGAAUGAUAAUGAAGAUAAAUCGCAGGAAAGUUUACAAUGACCAAUUAACCUACUAACUGGUACAACUUUGGAUUGUGGGAGGAAACUGAAACCCACGCAGUCACUGGGAGAACGUACAAAUUACUUAUAUAUGUUGCUGGAAUUAAGCUCUGAACUCUGAAUGCCCUGAUCUGUAAUUGUG